rnacentral:rRNA from 1 species
UACGUAGGGUGCGAGCGUUGUCCGGAAUUAUUGGGCGUAAAGAGCUCGUAGGCGGCUUGUCGCGUCGGAUGUGAAAGCCCGGGGCUUAACUCCGGGUCUGCAUUCGAUACGGGCUAGCUAGAGUGUGGUAGGGGAGAUCGGAAUUCCUGGUGUAGCGGUGGAAUGCGCAGAUAUCAGGAGGAACACCGAUGGCGAAGGCAGAUCUCUGGGCCGUAACUGACGCUGAGGAGCGAAAGCAUGGGGAGCGAACAGG